CAAGUCCAGUCGGGGGGAUGCGGCAGCAGCUCCCUCUCCCCUAGGCGACGUUUCCCGGGCUUGCCUCUGCUGGCGGCAACCCGAGGCUCCUGAAGACAACGUUUCGUAGAAGGCGGGCUUACUCGCCUCCCCGCACCUGCACACAACGGGAUCAGCAACUACUGCGUUCCAGAUGCUCCGGAAGAACGUUUCGUAGAAGGCGGGCUUAAUCUCCUCUCCGCACCUGCACAC